AGCAUCGCGAGAGUUACCUUAAUUGUGGCGGCGGGAAGGCGGGCCCUGCAGCUGGCUGGGCGGUUAGGAGGGCCCGGGGCCGAGACGAUGGCUGACCACAACCCUGACAGCGACCCCACGCCGCGCACGCUGCUGCGACGCGUGCUGGAUACAGCGGACCCGCGCACCCCGCGGCGACCCCGGAGUGCUCGGGCUGGAGCCCGGAGAGCCCUGCUUGAAAUGGCUUCCUCCAGGAGGUUGAGUGGCCAAACAAGGACGAUAGCCAGAGGGCGUUCCCGUGGAGCCAGGGUAAGUACCCAGCCCACUGACCCCAAAGGGCCCUGGCUGCCUCGGGGAGGGGGGUUGAGGUCUAGCUCUGCUCUGGAGCCCACCUUGAGGAAAUCUCAAGGCAAACGGACAGACUGGUUGCUUGGUGCUUUUGCGGAUAGUCUGUUGGCAGAUCGGCCCAUGUUCAGGCCAGUGGGCACUUGGAGGAACAGACACCUCGGACGCUGCUGAAGAACAUCCUACUAACUGGUAAGUGAGUGCUGGCCUGCCGGUCAGAGUUAGGUACCAGUCCGACACCAGUCUUCUGGUAUCUUUCAUUCAGGGUGGCCUGUUCUGUCAGCCCCACCCUCUCCUUGGUAUUUCUGCAGCCCCGGAAUCUUCCAUCCUGAUGCCCGAGUCGGUAGUGAAGCCAGUGCCAGCACCGGAGGUGGUCCAACCCUCCAGACGAGAGAGCAGUUGUGGCAGCCUGGAGCUGCAACUUCCUGAGCUCGAGCCCCCCACAACCCUGGCUCCAGGUCUGCUGGCCCCUGGCAGGAGGAAACAGAGGCUGAGACUGUCGAUGUUUCAGCAGGGAGUGGACCAGGGGCUGUCUCUCUCCCAAGGUGAGGCCCUGGACACCACUUUUGCUACCCUCUCCCUCCUGUCCUCUGGAGAGGCUGAGGAGUCCUGAGAGAGGGCCCUCACAGGCCUGGAGCACUUACCAUGGUUUUCUUCUUUUACAUUCUCUUGCCGGUUGCUGACAGAGCCUCAAGGGAAUGCUGAUGCCUCUUCCCUCACCAGGUGCUGUUCUGGGUGAUUCCUGUUCUGGGAGUGGGUGGAGGAGAGACUUGGGGAGGGAGGUGCUGCUUGGGAUGGAAUCUGGCCGUACUACUCCCUGCCAGUUUUAGCCUCACAGCAUCUGUUCUAAGAGAUGAGAGCCCCAGGGUGAAUGGAGGGAUCUCUGGGCAAACUGGGUCUCAGGUACCUGACUUUCCUCUGUGCCUCCCCCCUCUCACCAGAUCCCUCAACCUGACCUUUGCCACACCUCUUCAGCCACAGUCAGUGCAGAGGCCUGGCUUGGCCCGCAGACCUCCUGCCCGCCGAGCUGUAGACGUGGGUGCCUUUUUGCGGGAUCUGCGAGAUACUUCCCUGGCUCCUCCAAGUAAGGUUGAGGUUUUCCCCUGCUGGCCUUUGGGGAAAGCUCUCCCCACUAUGACAGAUAGGAGGUGAUGCUGAGUCAGGGUUGCGCCCCUCUCGGUGGGGUCAAGGACAGCAAGCAACUCUGGUCAGUGGGUCUACAAGGAAUUUCUGCUUGCUUUCUACAGGGGGCCCCUUUCCUUCGUCCCUCGGUGUCUCCCAGGGCCCCAUAUCCUUAGACUAUAGGGCUGGAGGUUGGAAAGGGGUGUGGUGUGGUGGCCGAAACUUGUUGAAAGGGGCCAGGUUUCAGGAUCAGCUGGCCAAUUCAAACUGACCUGGGAGCCUGAUUGCAGAAAACAAGUUCACCAGAGUAAGAAGAGGGUUUGGGAAGAAGCUGCAGAACAAGCAGCGAAGAGGUAUUUUAAGUGGGCAGCUGGUGGGCAGGCAGCUGUGGGGGCCUGGGACUGCCGGGCAGAGGAACAGGAAGGUAAGCAAGGAGGGCUGUAGUCGAAAAGGCCUCGCGUGCUAGGUCGUCUUCUUUCUCUGAAGGCCACUCAGGGCGGACCCAUGCGGCCUACUGUCCAGGCCCUGGCAAUGCUGAGUAGCAGCCGGUGGGCCUGGAAUACGCUGAGAGCCAGCUGGCCCCUGAUCUCCAGGUGACAGCCUCAGAACCUGUUACUACUCUGCCCACAGACAUUGUGUUGGAGGACACCCAGCCAUUCUCUCAGCCCACGGUUGGCUCCCCUGAUGUGUAUCACUCCCUGCCCUGCAUGCCUCACACUGGGGCUGAAGACGCUGAGCAGGCUACUGGUCGCAAGACACAGAGCAGUGGGCCUGGGCUGCAGAACAAUAGUGAGUGUGUGGCACCGGUGGCCUGGAGCCAAACUUAGCUUGGGUGAGAGCUGACAAUGGUAGUUUUCCUUCUUCAAGCCCCUCUGUGCUCCUAGAGCACCCUGGCUGUGGCUGCCUCCUUCAUCCAAGAGCAGAGUCCAUGUUGGGCCAGGAGACUUCAGAUCCAUGUCCUGGUGCUGCCUCUGGCUUUGUCUUUCCUCAGUGAGCAGGGCUGGGUCUGCUAGUCCAUCUUUACCCUUCUCUGAGCUAUGCAGCCUUGGCCGGCUGCGUCUCCAGCCUGUAUUCUCUCCCCUUCACUCAGGCCCUGGGAAACCAGCCCAGUUUCUGGCAGGAGUGGCAGAGGAGGUCGAUGCCUUUGCUCUAAGCUUCCUGAGCACCAGCAGUGGUGUCUCUGGAGAAGAUGAAAUAGAGCCCUUACAUGAUGGAGUUGAAGAGGCAGAG
rnacentral:sRNA from 1 species